UCCACGUCUUCCUUGGCUUUCUUUUGCGAGUGCGGAUGAUUGAUUGUUGUCGAUGUUGUGCGAAGCAGUGCUCGUCGUUGCGGAUGAACGUUGAACUUAGAUUAAGCGACGACGAUUGAAGAGUUGCGUGAAUGAGGAUUGUAGGUGGUUUUGUGAUCAAGGAUGAAGGUGAAGAACGCGGUUCCGAUAGAGAGGAAGAUUGAAGGAAGAUGAAUUCUAGAACGUGGAUGUGAAUUUCUGUGUGUAUUGGUGAGUUGAAGAUGGAGAAGGUUCUUUUAUGUGUGCGAUUCUUUUGAGCAGAGCCUGAUUGGAGAAAUCGGUUGGUAGAAUUUGUGAUGAAUCGAUGGAUAGGGAUCAAGAUGAAGUUGAGAUGAAUUUGUUAUGGAGGUUCUGUAGGAUAGAGAAGAAGAAUGAACGAUUGUAUGGUGAAUCAUGGAGAAUUGAAGAUUGAAGGGAGAGGGAGAAAAGAUUGAAGAGUUUGUUACAGGUUAAUUGUGGAAGAUGAAUAAGUGUGGAGUGUGAAUAACUGAGAGUAAAAAUGGGUGAGUUCAAAGGAUGGUGCAGUGAAGAUGAAGUUUGAAGAGUGAAAAUGGUGGAUGAAGUGUGUGUGUGAAUCGUGGAGUUGAUGAUGAGUGAAUGGAAGAAUUAUAUGUUGAAGAAAGGAGCAAGAUGAAUGUUGAAGUCUGAAGGUGGAGGAAAGUGGCGUGUGAAGUAUGAACAAUGGUGGGAGAUUCUGUUAUAUAGUAUCAGGGAGAAUCAGAAUUGAUUGAAAGGUUUGAUUUAUGGAUGUGGCAGGGACAGGUUUAUGUUUAAAGCAACUUGGUGAAUGCAAAGAGACUUGGCAUGGUUGGAUGAGCAAAAUGAAUCAAGGCUAAGGGUAGGAGCAAGUCACCCUAGGUUUAGAAAUUUGAUUUUUUUUGUAAUGAAUUUUGUAAGGAAAAGAUACACUCUAUUUAUGUAU